rnacentral:rRNA from 1 species
UUUUUAUGAGAGUUUGAUCCUGGCUCAGGACGAACGCUGGCGGCGUGCCUAAUACAUGCAAGUCGAACGCUUCUUUUUCCACCGGAGCUUGCUCCACCGGAAAAAGAGGAGUGGCGAACGGGUGAGUAACACGUGGGUAACCUGCCCAUCAGAAGGGGAUAACACUUGGAAACAGGUGCUAAUACCGUAUAACAAUCAAAACCGCAUGGCUUGGAUU